GACGAACGCUGGCGGCGUGCUUAACACAUGCAAGUCGAACGGAAAGGCCCUGCUUUUGUGGGGUGCUCGAGUGGCGAACGGGUGAGUAACACGUGAGUAACCUGCCCUUGACUUUGGGAUAACUUCAGGAAACUGGGGCUAAUACCGGAUAGGAGCUCCUGCUGCAUGGUGGGGGUUGGAAAGUUUCGGCGGUUGGGGAUGGACUCGCGGCUUAUCAGCUUGUUGGUGGGGUAGUGGCUGACCAAGGCUUUGACGGGUAGCCGGCCUGAGAGGGUGACCGGCGACAUUGGGACUGAGGUACGGCCCAGACUGCUACGGGAGGCAGCAGUGGGGAAUAUGGCACAAUGGGCGGAAGCCUGAUGAAGCAACGCCGCGUGCGGGAUGACGGCCUGCGGGUUGUAAACCGCUUUAGCCUGUGACGAAGCGUGAGUGACGGUAAUGGGUAAAGAAGCACCGGCUAACUACGUG
rnacentral:rRNA from 1 species